rnacentral:misc_RNA from 1 species
UCCAGGACGACUUUGUCGUCUUGCAUAGAUGAUUGAGCAUUCCCAUUCUCUUGCUCUAGCAUACUCUCGUCAAAAUUCAGCGGACAACUCGGGGGAACUUCGACAGGAUUGAAAUCAUCCACAGAUUUUAGACUCCCAAUGAAUGAUGAUUCGCCACUAUAAACUGCAUCAAUAUUGAACUCUUUCCCGAGCUCCGAGACGAUCCUUGCCUCCGAAGG